ensembl:lncRNA
GGCUACUUUAAAUUAUUCUUAUUUCCCAUAAUGUCCCAGAGAAGGAGUAAAUUGCAUAUAAUUUCUUGAUACAAGACGAGCUAUUCAUUUUGUUCUGGGUCAGGAGAGACACGCUGUGAUAGGCUCACCUGCCGCAAGCUUGUUAAUUAUGGAAAUGUGAGUUAGAAUCAGCUGUCACUAUUAUGCAGCGGAGCCACUCUCACGAGGGAGCGAUGUGUGUGUGUGUGAGUAAGCAGGCUCUUUCAUUUUAAGCCGUGCAGUGAACAUGCAUGUCAUGGACAGGGGCUGCUUUGGGCCACUGCACAUCUCAGGAGACUUCAUUAAUUAUUCAACCCUUUGACUCCCAGAGAGACGAGCCCAUUCGCUGUACGUGGCCGGUAACCCCAGAAAAAGACCAUUAGGCCUACAGGUUACCUGAGUAUGCAGAAUAGAAAUGAUGCGUUGCUAUGGAACCAGCCACAUGAAGAUUCGGCAUUUAAUAACAAGAACAUCUACAGGACUGACGCUAAUUUGGGAGGGAACGCUGAAAGAAGCGUGUAUUGUAUGUAUGCAGAAGCAACCACAUGUGCAUCCGGGGAGGAAGAGGCGGUCAGCUCAUGUUGAUUUUAAUACGGGUUUCUGCACACGUUGCCGUCAGGACUGAAUUUACUGAGGCAGAAAGAGUCUCAAGUCUCUCUCGUUCCAGGCUGAGAAUCAAUGCCACAUUGAUUUUCCUAUCAAUGGACAUUAUCAUAGAUCAGGCAUCUGCUAGCACUGGCCUCAAUCCACGUGCCGCCUGUUGCCACGGGGACAGAGAGAUUUCAUCACUCCUCGCUCUCUGACAGACAGACUGACAGAGAGAGAGAUGGCUAAAAAGCAAGGGAUGGCAGGGAAAUGCAUGCACACACGCAGAGUAGAGGAUCAAUACCUGAAGUGCAGAGGAUAUUGAGUCAGAGGGGAUGUUGGAUUUGACUACCGGAGGAAAAAAAAGUGCAGCUUUUGUCACCGAGCAAGCAGGUUUCAGAGAUCUCCUGGAGUUUGCACAUAAAAUGCGUAUCCUUGUUUGUGUGACGGCUUCAUGACAGAAAAAUAUCUGCAACAGAAUGUAAUUAGCCAAAAAAUACAUGCACAAACUCACUCUAAGAGCUUUUGCACAUAUUCAUAAACAUACACAAUUAUCGAAUACCAACAUCGGAGAGAUAUAAGCUGUAGAUCGAUCCUUUGCGGAGACACUGACAACACAUUCAUGGGAAAAUAACAAAUACAAAAAUCAGCUCAUAUCUGCAACAAGCCGCUUGAUAGGAGUUGAAGCAAAUAUGGUUAGAGAAGAUAAUUUCCUCAUAUGUGUGUAUGUGAAUGCUUGAUUUCGUCUAUCCCCAGUGGAAGCUGUGAAGCCUGAGGCCUAAUGACCAUUUCAGAGCUCUCUCGCUUAAACGUGACAUCCACUUUCCUCUGUAUCACAUACCCCGUGCUUGAAUUUGCACAGUAUGACUCAUGGACAUACAAGUGACACCUUGCAGAUUGUGUGGACUGGGUUCAAGUAAACAGACAGAAGCUCUGGACACCGUAGGCUGUGCAGUUAACCCAUGGAGGGCACCAUAGAGGAUUAGUCCAGUGGAGGAGGAGGGGAAGCAGGGAAACCUUUCCACCACUGCUCCACCACUACACAAAAUACAUGUAGUGCAUGCUCAAACAUUUGCUUCAUACCUAAAAAUAAGCAUUUGUUUUAAAUAGAGUGCUGCAGUGAUGAUGUAUUUUUGAAGGCCAUCCUAGAAGUUAGCAUCACCCUUAUUGCCUCAACAGAAAAACAACAGAAUUUUCCACAAGCUUUCGAAUAUUGCAGAAAAUAAGAUCUGUUACCAAAAAGUUUUAUAAUUACACAUUUUGUUCAUCAUAAUCUUUUAAGCCUAAAUACAAUCACCAGAAGUAAAAAAGCUAAAAGUAGGCAUCACCACUUUAGAUGAUGAUUUCAACAACUCUUUAUUUAAAAUAAAUUUUCCCUGAAAGUUUGAGUUAAGAUUGUUUGCAAGAGUGGGAUUAUAAACACAAUGAGGCUAUAGUGUAGACGCAAACUUAGAAAGUUAGUUUCGGUGUGAUGAUGUUUGAUGUCCC